GACGAACGCUGGCGGCGUGCCUAAUACAUGCAAGUAGAACGCUGAAGGAGGAGCUUGCUUCUCCGGAUGAGUUGCGAACGGGUGAGUAACGCGUAGGUAACCUGCCUGGUAGCGGGGGAUAACUAUUGGAAACGAUAGCUAAUACCGCAUAAGAGUAGAUGUCGCAUGACAUUUGCUUAAAAGGUGCAACUGCACCACUACCAGAUGGACCUGCGUUGUAUUAGCUAGUUGGUGAGGGAACGGCUCACCAAGGCAACGAUACAUAGCCGACCUGAGAGGGUGAUCGGCCACACUGGGACUGGGACACGGCCCAGACUUCUACGGGAGGGAGCAGUAGGGGAUCUUCGGCAAUGGACGGAAGUCUGACCGAGCAACGCCGGGUGAGUGAAGAAGGUUUUCGGACCGUAAAGCUCUGUUGUAAGAGAAGAACGAGUGUGAGAGUGGAAAGUUCACACUGUGACGGUAUCUUACCAGAAAGGGACGGCUAACUACGUG
rnacentral:rRNA from 1 species